rnacentral:tRNA from 1 species
GAUCCCCUCUUCUUGAACGGGAAAAGGAAACUCAUAAUCCCUUGGUCCCAGGUUCGAGUCCUGGCGGGCCCACCA